UCGUUAAGUUGGAUGUGAAAUCCCCGGGCUCAACCUGGGAACUGCAUUCAAAACUGACGAGCUAGAGUAUGGUAGAGGGUGGUGGAAUUUCCUGUGUAGCGGUGAAAUGCGUAGAGAUCGGGAGGAACAUCCAUGGCGAAGGCGACCACCUGGACUAAUACUGACACUGAGGUGCGAAAGCGUGGGGAGCAAACAGGAUUAGAAACCCUAGUAGUCC
rnacentral:rRNA from 1 species